AAAAAGACAAACUUGGUUUCCGUGUCCAACGUUUGGCCAUUUAUUUUAUUUAAAAAAAUUAUAAAAAAAUUAAAAAGACAAGUUACGUAUAAAAUAUUAAUUAUGUUUUAUCAUCUAAUAAAAUAAAAAUAUGAAUUAUAAAAAAAUUUUAUAUAAGACAGACAGUCAAAGUUGGACAUGAAAACCCUAGGGUUUGCCUUUU
rfam:Oryza nivara chromosome 10, whole genome shotgun sequence.